rnacentral:rRNA from 1 species
CCCUGGUUUGUUUGAGGUUCUAACCUUGGCCCGUGAAUCCGGGUCGGGGACAGUGCAUGGUAGGCAGUUUGACUGGGGCGGUCUCCUCCCAAAGUGUAACGGAGGAGUUCGAAGGUACGCUUGGUACGGUCGGACAUCGUACCUAAAGUGCAAUGGCAAAAGCGUGCUUAACUGCGAGACCGACAAGUCGAGCAGGUGCGAAAGCAGGACAUAGUGAUCCGGUGGUUCUGUAUGGAAGGGCCAUCGCUCAACGGAUAAAAGGUACUCUAGGGAUAACA